GACGAACGCUGGCGGCGUGCUUAACACAUGCAAGUCGAACGAAGUGGCGAACGGGUGAGUAACGCGUAAUCAACCUGCCCUUCAGAGGGGGACAACAGUUGGCAACGACUGCUAAUACCGCAUACUGAAGGAGGGGAUUGCGUCUGAUUAGCUAGUUGGAGGGGUAACGGCCCACGAAGGCGAUGAUCAGUAGCCGGUCUGGGAGGAUGGACGGCCACAUUGGGAAUGGGAAACGGCCCAGACUCCUACGGGAGGCAGCAGGGGGGAAUCUUCCGCAAUGGACGAAAGUCUGGCGGAGCAACGGCGCGUGAGUGAUGACGGCCUUCGGGUUGUAAAGCUCUGUUAAUCGGGACGCGGUACCGGAAUAGAAAGCAACGGCUAACUACGUGCCAGCAGCCGCGGUAAUUC
rnacentral:rRNA from 1 species